rnacentral:rRNA from 1 species
UACGUAGGGUGCGAGCGUUGUCCGGAAUUACUGGGCGUAAAGGGUGCGUAGGCGGGUCUUUAAGUCAGGGGUGAAAUCCUGGAGCUCAACUCCAGAACUGCCUUUGAUACUGAAGGAUCUUGAGUUCGGGAGAGGUGAGUGGAACUGCGAGUGUAGAGGUGAAAUUCGUAGAUAUUCGGAAGAACACCAGUGGCGAAGGCGGCUCACUGGCCCGGUACUGACGCUGAGUGAGCGAACGGUGGGACCAAACAGGG